rnacentral:rRNA from 1 species
UACGAGGGGGGCAAGCGUUGUUCGGAAUUAUUGGGCGUAAAGGGCGCGUAGGCGGUUUGACAAGUCUGAUGUGAAAUCUAUGGGCUCAACCCAUAGCCUGCAUUAGAAACUGUCGGGCUUGAGUAUGGGAGAGGUGAGUGGAAUUUCCGGUGUAGUGGUGAAAUGCGUAGAUAUCGGAAGGAACACCUGUGGCGAAAGCGGCUCACUGGACCAUAACUGACGCUGAGGCGCGAAAGCUAGGGGAGCAAACAGG